rnacentral:tRNA from 1 species
GGGGAUUUAGCUCAGUGGCAUAAGCACCUGCCUUGCAAGCAGGAGGUCGUGAGUUCAAUCCCCG